CUACGUGCCAGCAGCCGCGGUAAUACGUAGGUGGCAAGCGUUGUCCGGAAUUAUUGGGCGUAAAGCGCGCGCAGGCGGAUCAGUCAGUCUGUCUUAAAAGUUCGGGGCUUAACCCCGUGAUGGGAUGGAAACUGCUGAUCUAGAGUAUCGGAGAGGAAAGUGGAAUUCCUAGUGUAGCGGUGAAAUGCGUAGAUAUUAGGAAGAACACCAGUGGCGAAGGCGACUUUCUGGACGAAAACUGACGCUGAGGCGCGAAAGCCAGGGGAGCGAACGGGAUUAGAUACCCCGGUAGUCCUGGCCGUAAACGAUGGGUACUAGGUGUAGGAGGUAUCGACCCCUUCUGUGCCGGAGUUAACGCAAUAAGUACCCCGCCUGGGGAGUACGACCGCAAGGUUGAAACUCAAAGGAAUUGACGGGGGCCCGCACAAGCGGUGGAGUAUGUGGUUUAAUUCGACGCAACGCGAAGAACCUUACCAGGUCUUGACA
rnacentral:rRNA from 1 species